UGUAGAGGCUCAAUGGUAGAGUGCUUGCCUAGCAAGUACAAAGCCCUGGGUUCAAUUCCCAGCACUGCAA
rnacentral:tRNA from 1 species